UACGUAGGGUGCGAGCGUUAAUCGGAAUUACUGGGCGUAAAGGGCGCGUAGGCGGGUGUUUAAGUCAGAGGUUAAAUCCCAGGGCUCAACCCUGGAACUGCCUUUGAUACUGGGCACCUAGAGUUCGGGAGAGGUGUGUGGAACUCCGAGUGUAGAGGUGAAAUUCGUAGAUAUUCGGAAGAACACCAGUGGCGAAGGCGACACACUGGCCCGAUACUGACGCUGAGGCGCGAAAGCGUGGGGAGCAAACAGG
rnacentral:rRNA from 1 species